rnacentral:rRNA from 1 species
UGCAGAAUCCCGUGAACCAUCGAGUCUUUGAACGCAAGUUGCGCCCGAUGCCAUUAGGUUGAGGGCACGUCUGCCUGGGUGUCACAUAUCGAAGCCCCUUGCCAAUUUCCUAUUGAAUAGGUAUUGUGUGCAGGGUGAAUAUGUUGGCCUCCCGUGAGCUCUGUCUCAUGGUUGGUUGAAAUUUGAGACCUUGGUAGGGUGUGCCAUGAUAGAUGGUGGAUGUGUGACCCACGAGACCAAAUCAUGUGCAGCUCUAUUGAAUGUGGACUCUUUUACCCACAUGCGUUUUGUAACGCUCGUGAUGAGACCUCAGGUCAGGCGGGGCUACCCGCUGAAUUUAAGCAUAUCAAUAAGCGGAGGAAAAGAAACUAACAAGGAUUCCCUUAGUAACGGCGAGCGAACCGGGAUAAGCCCACCAUGAGAAUCGGUCGCCCUCGGCGUUCGA